GCAGAGCACUCCUACGGGAGGCAGCAGUGGGGAAUAUUGCACAAUGGGCGCAAGCCUGAUGGAGCAACACCGCGUGAGUGAAGAAGGGUUUCGGCUCGUAAAGCUCUGUUGUUAAAGAAGAACACGUAUGAGAGUAACUGUUCAUACGUUGACGGUAUUUAACCAGAAAGUCACGGCUAACUACGUGCCAGCAGCCGCGGUAAUACGUAGGUGGCAAGCGUUAUCCGGAUUUAUUGGGCGUAAAGAGAGUGCAGGCGGUUUUCUAAGUCUGAUGUGAAAGCCUUCGGCUUAACCCGGAGAAGUGCAUCGGAAACUGGAUAACUUGAGUGCAGAAGAGGGUAGUGGAACUCCAUGUGUAGCGGUGGAAUGCGUAGAUAUAUGGAAGAACACCAGUGGCGAAGGCGGCUACCUGGUCUGCAACUGACGCUGAGACCUCGAAAGCAUGGGUAGCCGAACAGGAUUAGACUACCCUGGUAG
rnacentral:rRNA from 1 species